rnacentral:rRNA from 1 species
GAUGAACGCUGGCGGCGUGCCUAAUACAUGCAAGUCGAGCGAACAGACGAGGAGCUUGCUCCUCUGACGUUAGCGGCGGACGGGUGAGUAACACGUGGAUAACCUACCUAUAAGACUGGGAUAACUUCGGGAAACCGGAGCUAAUACCGGAUAAUAUAUUGAACCGCAUGGUUCAAUAGUGAAAGACGGUUUUGCUGUCACUUAUAGAUGGAUCCGCGCCGCAUUAGCUAGUUGGUAAGGUAACGGCUUACCAAGGCAACGAUGCGUAGCCGACCUGAGAGGGGGAUCGGCCACACUGGAACUGAGACACGGUCAAGACUCCUACGGGAGGAAGCAGUAGGAAAUCUUCCGAAAUGGGCGAAAGCCUGACGGAGCAACGCCGGGUGGGUGAUGAAGGUCUUCGGAUGGUAAAACUCUGUUAUUGGGGAAGAACAAAUGUGUAAGUAACUAUGCAGGUCUUGACGGUACCUAAGCAGAAAGCCACGGCUAACUACGU